rnacentral:rRNA from 1 species
AGCGGCGGAUGGGUGAGUAACACGUGGGGAACCUACCCCUAAGUCUGGGAUACCAUUUGGAAACAGGUGCUAAUACCGGAUAAUAAAGCAGAUCGCAUGAUCAGCUUUUGAAAGGCGGCGUAAGCUGUCGCUAAGGGAUGGCCCCGCGGUGCAUUAGCUAGUUGGUAAGGUAACGGCUUACCAAGGCGACGAUGCAUAGCCGAGUUGAGAGACUGAUCGGCCACAUUGGGACUGAGACACGGCCCAAACUCCUACGGGAGGCAGCAGUAGGGAAUCUUCCACAAUGGACGCAAGUCUGAUGGAGCAACGCCGCGUGAGUGAAGAAGGUUUUCGGAUCGUAAAGCUCUGUUGUUGGUGAAGAAGGAUAGAGGUAGUAACUGGCCUUUAUUUGACGGUAAUCAACCAGAAAGUCACGGCUAACUACGUGCCAGCAGCCGCGGUAAUACGUAGGUGGCAAGCGUUGUCCGGAUUUAUUGAGCGUAAAGCGAGCGCAGGCGGAAAAAUAAGUCUAAUGUGAAAGCCCUCGGCUUAACCGAGGAACUGCAUCGGAAACUGUUUUUCUUGAGUGCAGAAGAGGAGAGUGGAACUCCAUGUGUAGCGGUGGAAUGCGUAGAUAUAUGGAAGAACACCAGUGGCGAAGGCGGCUCUCUGGUCUGCAACUGACGCUGAGGCUCGAAAGCAUGGGUAGCGAACAGGAUUAGAUACCCUGGGUAGUCCAUGCCGUAAACGAUGAGUGCUAAGUGU